UAUGGCUUUCAUCCUAUGUGAAUGUUAUCGCACAUGUUCACAUUGGUGGAAGUCAAAGA
rnacentral:pre_miRNA from 2 species